AACGCUAGCUACAGGCUUAACACAUGCAAGUCGAGGGGCAGCAUGGUCUUAGCUUGCUAAGGCCGAUGGCGACCGGCGCACGGGUGAGUAACGCGUAUCCAACCUGCCUUACACUCUUGGACAGCCUUCUGAAAGGGAGAUUAAUACAAGAUGUUAUCAUGAGUAAGCAUUUUCGCAUGAUUAAAGGUUUACCGGUGUAAGAUGGGGAUGCGUUCCAUUAGAUAGUAGGCGGGGUAACGGCCCACCUAGUCUUCGAUGGAUAGGGGUUCUGAGAGGAAGGUCCCCCACAUUGGAACUGAGACACGGUCCAAACUCCUACGGGAGGCAGCAGUGAGGAAUAUUGGUCAAUGGACGAGAGUCUGAACCAGCCAAGUAGCGUGAAGGAUGAAGGUUCUAUGGAUUGUAAACUUCUUUUAUACGGGAAUAAACGAAUCCACGUGUGGAUUUUUGCAUGUACCGUAUGAAUAAGGAUCGGCUAACUCCGUGCCAGCAGCCGCGGUAAUACGGAGGAUCCGAGCGUUAUCCGGAUUUAUUGGGUUUAAAGGGAGCGUAGAUGGGUUGUUAAGUCAGUUGUGAAAGUUUGCGGCUCAACCGUAAAAUUGCAAUUGAUACUGGCAGUCUUGAGUACAGUUGAGGUAGGCGGAAUUCGUGGUGUAGCGGUGAAAUGCUUAGAUAUCACGAAGAACUCCGAUUGCGAAGGCAGCUUACUAACCUGUAACUGACAUUGAUGCUCGAAAGUGUGGGUAUCAAACAGGAUUAGAUACCCUGGUAGUCCACACGGUAAACGAUGAAUACUCGCUGUAGGCGAUAUACAGUCUGCGGCCAAGCGAAAGCAUUAAGUAUUCCACCUGGGGAGUACGCCGGCAACGGUGAAACUCAAAGGAAUUGACGGGGGCCCGCACAAGCGGAGGAACAUGUGGUUUAAUUCGAUGAUACGCGAGGAACCUUACCCGGGCUUAAAUUGCAACCGAAUAUGGCGGAAACGCUAUAGCUAGCAAUAGCGGUUGUGAAGGUGCUGCAUGGUUGUCGUCAGCUCGUGCCGUGAGGUGUCGGCUUAAGUGC
rnacentral:rRNA from 1 species